rnacentral:rRNA from 1 species
UUGAACGCUGGCGGUAUGCUUAACACAUGCAAGUCGAACGGAAACGAUACUAGCUUGCUAGUAGGCGUCGAGUGGCGGACGGGUGAGUAACGCGUAGGAAUCUGCCUGAUAGUGGGGGAUAGCCCGAAGAAAUUCGGAUUAAUACCGCAUAAUCUAUUCGUAGUAAAGUGGGGGACUUUCGAGCCUCACGCUAUCAGAUGAGCCUGCGUAAGAUUAGCUUGUUGGUAGGGUAAAAGCCUACCAAGGCGACGAUCUUUAGCUGGUCUGAGAGGAUGAUCAGCCACAUCGGGACUGAGACACGGCCCGAACUCCUACGGGAGGCAGCAGUGGGGAAUAUUGGACAAUGGGGGCAACCCUGAUCCAGCAAUACCGCGUGUGUGAAGAAGGCCUGAGGGUUGUAAAGCACUUUCAAUUGUGAAGAAAAGUUAGCGGUUAAUAACCGUUAGCCUUGACGUUAACUUUAGAAGAAGCACCGGCUAACUCCGUGCCAGCAGCCGCGGUAAUACGGAGGGUGCAAGCGUUAAUCGGAAUUACUGGGCGUAAAGCGUGCGUAGGCGGUUUAUUAAGUCAGAUGUGAAAGCCCCGGGCUUAACCUGGGAACUGCAUUUGAAACUGGUCAACUAGAGUAUGGUAGAGGAAAGUGGAAUUUCUGGUGUAGCGGUGAAAUGCGUAGAUAUCAGAAGGGAACAUCAAUGGCGAAGGCAGCUUUCUGGACCAAUACUGACGCUGAGGUACGAAAGCGUGGGUAGCAAACAGGAUUAGAUACCCUGGUAGUCCACGCCGUAAACGAUGAUAACUAGCCGUUGGGGGGAUUUACCCUUUAGUGGCGAAGCUAACGCGUUAAGUUAUCCGCCUGGGGAGUACGGCCGCAAGGUUAAAACUCAAAGGAAUUGACGGGGACCCGCACAAGCGGUGGAGCAUGUGGUUUAAUUCGAUGCAACGCGAAGAACCUUACCUGGUCUUGACAUCCUGCGAACUUUCUAGAAAUAGAUUGGUGCCUUCGGGAACGCAGUGACAGGUGCUGCAUGGCUGUCGUCAGCUCGUGUCGUGAGAUGUUGGGUUAAGUCCCGUAACGAGCGCAACCCCUAUCCUUAUUUGCCAGCACAUCAUGGUGGGAACUAUAAGGAGACUGCCGGUGAUAAACCGGAGGAAGGCGGGGACGACGUCAAGUCAUCAUGGCCCUUACGACCAGGGCUACACACGUGCUACAAUGGGAAGGACAAAGAGCCGCGAAGCCGCGAGGUGUAGCUAAUCUCAUAAACCUUUUCGUAGUCCGGAUUGGAGUCUGCAACUCGACUCCAUGAAGUCGGAAUCGCUAGUAAUCGUAGAUCAGAAUGCUACGGUGAAUACGUUCCCGGGUCUUGUACACACCGCC